UGUAUAUAAAGGGACGGGCAUGAGGCGUUCCAUCACAGCAAGUGAACACUCAGAGCAAAGCAGUGCAGAACUUGUCCCCGGGUGAGAAAGAUGCAUCGCGGCCUGUUGUUGCUGGCGGUGGUGUUGGUGGCGGUGUGCGUGACCACCAGUGAAGCAGGCGGAAACCCUGGCAUAUGUCCAGUAAACCCUCGCUGCCUUGGAAAGUCAUGCUUCUCCGAUCAACAUUGCUUUCCACACCAAAAAUGCUGCAUUACUCCAUGUGGCCGGCUAGCGUGCAUAAAUGUUCGUCCGUAUGGGCGCCGCUAACCAGCACCAGCACCGUCACCACCACCGCCAUUUUGAUUUGAGUUGCUGAUUGAUGUUGUUAAAGAUUUAUGAAAUGAACCAUUGGCUAGAAUAUAAUUUGUUUUGUAUAUCUUUCUUGAUCUCUUUUAUCAAUUCAUUUUUUUUUAUGGAAGCGAGCCACUGCCAAGGCCAACAAUUGAAAAAGACCCUCAUAUUGCCAGUUUCCGCACAAAAUCGGUACAAAAAAAAAAAAAAAAAAAAUAGAACAAAUGCUUUGAAACUUUACUUUUGAUAAGAGCUGAUUCAUAAAAAGGAGGGAAACACCGAAGCAGACAAAGCGCUCUAGAGUGUACAAGAGAAACUAGUAAACUCUUGCACUGCAGAGGUGGACAGAAUGAGAAAAAGAAGAAAGUCUUGUGCUGUGACACCAUGAGAGGAGAGGACACAUGCAGUUAACAAGAACAGAGAAGUUUACAUGGAAAUAGUGGUGAAGAGUCAGAGAUGCAACACCCUGGCACUGAGAAAUGGGCAGAAGACGUUUUCAUGAAUUCAAUGACAACCUAAGAUAGGAAUUUAUAAAAGAGCCUGCUAGAAUGACUAGAACCAAGAUACCGCAUUUAAGAACGUCAGUAACUUCAACGGGAGCACAUUUCUAUUUGAAUAUGAAAGCACAAUUAAAAACUGCAAUAUCUUUCAGUACACAGUGUGCUAAAAGUAAUGGAGAUGAGACGUUCAGGAAUGUUUUAGAACACGCCGACCAGUAAUUGUGAUGUGUGUCUUUCCUGCAGCCUUGUCACUACGAUCCAGACUGCCAACCACACCAGAAGUGCUGCCAUAAUUCCUGUGGCGGGAACAGGUGCACCAACGUUCGCCCCCACUGAUGUCACCACCACCACCACCACAACUCUGACCGUAAAAACAAACUCGGCCUCAUGCUGACUGUUGUGAAUUGAGGUUUUCAGAGAAUUGUGAAGUAAAAAGAAAUAUUAAA